GAUGAACGCUAGCUACAGGCUUAACACAUGCAAGUCGCGGGGCAGCAUGGGGGUUGCUUGCAAUCCCCGAUGGCGACCGGCGCACGGGUGAGUAACGCGUAUCCAACCUGCCCUUCACCACGGGAUAACCCGGCGAAAGUCGGACUAAUACCGUAUGUUGUCCAUUGACGGCAUCCGAUUUGGACGAAAGGUUUGGCGGUGAAGGAGGGGGAUGCGUCCGAUUAGCUGGACGGCGGGGUGACGGCCCACCGUGGCGACGAUCGGUAGGGGUUCUGAGAGGAAGGUCCCCCACACUGGAACUGAGACACGGUCCAGACUCCUACGGGAGGCAGCAGUGAGGAAUAUUGGUCAAUGGGCGUAAGCCUGAACCAGCCAAGUAGCGUGCAGGAGGACGGCCCUAUGGGUUGUAAACUGCUUUUAUGCGGGGAUAAAGUGGCCCACGUGUGGGUUUUUGCAGGUACCGCAUGAAUAAGGACCGGCUAAUUCCGUG
rnacentral:rRNA from 1 species